rnacentral:rRNA from 1 species
AAACAUGAGAGUUUGAUCCUGGCUCAGGAUGAACGCUGGCGGCGUGCCUAACACAUGCAAGUCGAACGGAGUUAUUAUUAUGAAGUUUUCGGA